rnacentral:rRNA from 1 species
GACGAACGCUGGCGGCGUGCCUAAUACAUGCAAGUCGAGCGAAUCAAUGGGAGCUUGCUCCCUGAGAUUAGCGGCGGACGGGUGAGUAACACGUGGGUAACCUGCCUGUAAGACUGGGAUAACUUCGGGAAACCGGAGCUAAUACCGGAUACGUUCUUUUCUCGCAUGAGAAGAGAUGGAAAGAUGGUUCUGCUAUCACUUACAGAUGGACCCGCGGCGCAUUAGCUAGUUGGUGAGGUAACGGCUCACCAAGGCGACGAUGCGUAGCCAACCUGAGAGGGUGAUCGUCCACACUGGGACUGAGACACGGCCCAGACUCCUACGGGAGGCAGCAGUAGGGAAUCUUCCGCAAUGGACGAAAGUCUGACGGAGCAACGCCGCGUGAGCGAAGAAGGCCUUCGGGUCGUAAAGCUCUGUUGUUAGGGAAGAACAAGUACGAGAGUAACUGCUCGUACCUUGACGGUACCUAACCAGAAAGCCACGGCUAACUACGUGCCAGCCGCCGCCGUAA